AAAUUGAAGAGUUUGAUCAUGGCUCAGAUUGAACGCUGGCGGCAGGCCUAACACAUGCAAGUCGAACGGUAACAGGAAGAAGCUUGCUUCUUUGCUGACGAGUGGCGGACGGGUGAGUAAUGUCUGGGAAACUGCCUGAUGGAGGGGGAUAACUACUGGAAACGGUAGCUAAUACCGCAUAACGUCGCAAGACCAAAGAGGGGGACCUUCGGGCCUCUUGCCAUCGGAUGUGCCCAGAUGGGAUUAGCUAGUAGGUGGGGUAACGGCUCACCUAGGCGACGAUCCCUAGCUGGUCUGAGAGGAUGACCAGCCACACUGGAACUGAGA
rnacentral:rRNA from 1 species